UACGAAGGGGGCUAGCGUUGCUCGGAAUUACUGGGCGUAAAGGGCGCGUAGGCGGAUACUUAAGUCGGGGGUGAAAGCCCGGGGCUCAACCUCGGAAUUGCCUUCGAUACUGGGUAUCUAGAGUAUGGGAGAGGUGUGUGGAACUCCGAGUGUAGAGGUGAAAUUCGUAGAUAUUCGGAAGAACACCAGUGGCGAAGGCGACACACUGGCCCAUUACUGACGCUGAGGCGCGAAAGCGUGGGGAGCAAACAGG
rnacentral:rRNA from 1 species